ACUAAAGAAUCAAAUGACUUUGCCAAAAGUGAUUUUUAAAAAAAUUUACCGAAACACCAAAAUUAACUUUUAACUUUUUAAAAUCAUUUUUGACCCUCCCAAAAACAAUCCAAAAGGGCCCUUAGCUAGUUUCUUUCGAUUCUUUAGAUUCAUUUUGAUACAUUGGGCAAAAUGAUCAACUGAUCUUGGGUUGUGAACAAAUCAAUUUGGUCCUGAUUCCUCCACAAAUGCAAACGAUUUGCUUGGACCCUAUAUUCGUAAUGGAAAAUGCUAGGGAGCGAGAGGAACGAGAGAAUGACGAGAGAAACGGCAGCAGUUGCUGCUCCUCUCGCUCGUUAAAACAUUAAAAUAAUAAAAAAAAAUAAAGAAUGAGUGCUUUAUCGUUCGUGCAGAGGUAAAUCUUUUCAACUUAUCUCCAGCCCUCACUUUCCUCUCUCCCUCACGCUCCUCUCACGCAAAUCACCAUCACUUCCUCACGCAAAUAUCACCAUCUUCUCAACUGGUCGACAUCCUCUCUCCCUCACGCUCCUCUCUCACGCAAAUCACCAGCAACCGCUCACGGCUUCCGGCUUCCCUCUCCAGCCAGCAACCGCUCACAGCUUCUCUCUCCAGCCAGCAACCGAGAGUGCCGUCGCUGGGGCUGCAGAUCCAUUCUCUUCUGCCACUGCUGCUGCUGAUGAUGAUGAUCUAUACAACUGAACUAAAACCGACGAAAGUUGAAGACACUGCAGUACAUGGAACAUCUAGUGCCAUGGGAAUAUUAAUUAUUAAUUAAUUAUUGCCUAGGAACACUAGUGUAUACUACUUUCGUGUUGCUCAGUUUCAUGCUUUUUGUUAUGUGAAAUUUCAUAGUAUUAACUCAACAUAAUGUAUCAAUGGGUGUUGAAAUUUUCCUAUUUCAAAUUUAGAAUCUCAAUACCAACCAGACUAUUUAUGUGUUAGGUGUUGCGCCUCCUAGAAGUGAUUAUAGCAAUCUCAUAGUUCAUGUUACUAACUUGCUCCUACUGUCAUGAUGAAUGGACCCGUGUCCUCGUGACAGUCGUCGCAUGUAUGAAAUACGGAAUAUGAAUAGAAAAUACGAUGAAAGAAUUUAGAGACGAAAAAACUUACCGUGCUCUUCUAAUGUUGUUUGCCGUGUUGUUAUUACGAUAUUUUAGGAAUGCUUGGUUGAAAGUGAAUCCGUUUGUUAUUCUUUGUCUUUUCAUGAAUUUAUUUUUCAAGACGCGUGGAAUCAACAAUACGUAUCUAUAACAAAAAAGCAUCGCUAAUUAACAGAAUAAAUCUUACAUUACUUCUUUAUUAACAAAAUUUCUUAUUUUUUGUGUUAACUGCAUCACGUGAUUGGAAACAGACAACUGUGCCCUUCUAAUAUAGAAAUGGUAUUUGUAUUUCUAAUAAGAAAUUAACAAGAAUACUACUUGCUGGCUGGAGAGGGAGGAGGCCGUGAACAGUUGCUCGGGUUGGAGAGGGAGGCCGUGAUUUGCGUGAGAGAGGAGCUGAGGAAGAGGAAAGUGAAAGUGAAGCCUGAAAGUGAAGCCUGCGUGAGAACUGAGGAAAGUGAAAGUGAGCCUGCAUGAGAAGGAAAGUGAAAGAGAGAGAACAGUGAAAGCUGGAUUUCACGCCAUUUUUUUAUUCAUUUUUUUUUAAUGUUUAAUGAGUGAGAGGAACGAGAGGAGAAACGGCAGGAGAGAAUGUCGUUUCUGUCGUCCUUCUCUCGUCCCUCUCGAUACCUAGCAGCACUCAUUCGUAAUUUUGAACUUACCUAAGUUAUGAAGAAUAGUAUUUAUCUUUAUUAAUUAUACCUCAAUUGUACGAAGCGAGGAAGACUUAUUCAUAAAAUGAAAAAUGCACAUUAGUCAAGAGGAAAUACAAGCCAUACCUAGGGAUGGCAAAAAUCCCCACGGGGACGGGUACCCUCGGCGAUUUUGCCCAUUUGGGGAGGGUAUGGGGAUAAUUUCAUACCCAAUUUCUUAUUCGGGGAGGGGACGAGGAUGAGGUGGAAUCCCCAUCCCCUACACAUUUCCCCAUUUUAAUUUUUAAUUUUAUUUUAAUUUUUUAAAAUUACUAGUAAAUAAAUAAUAAAAUUUAAAUUAUAAAAUUAUAAAUAUUGGUAAAAAUAAAAAAUAUCAAAAUAUUUAUAUUAUUAAACUUUUAGGCCUAAUUAACUAAUUAAAGUCCUAAAUUUUUAUUUAGGACAUUAAAAAGACCGAGUAGAUUCUAUUAGCCCAAUUUUUUUAUUUUAAUAUUCUUUAAAUAUUUUAAACUUAAAUCUAUUAUUUAUUUAUUUUUAGAUGUUAUAAUUGCCCACAGCGAAUCACAAUUUUAAUAUUUAAUCUAAUAUAAUCUAAUAUUUGUUCUUGAUUUGCUCCGAUUUUAACUAUUGUGUUGUAAAGGAAAUAAUCCACAUUUAUAAAGUGUCCACGGCACCAUUGAAAAAGUUAAUUUUGAAUCUAAAUUCGAUUUUAUUUGUAACAAUUUUGUAUUAGAAUAUUAAUUUGUUCAUGAUAGUUUGUAAAAAAAGUUUGUAUCCCUUUGCAUGCUGCGUUACUUACUAAUUUAAUGUAUGUGAUUUUUGUAAUGGAUAUUAAUGUAAGAUAUAUUUUGAACUUUACUUUUAUUUGAAUUUUUUAUUUUAGUAUGAUUAACUCAAAAUCGAAAACAAAAAAAAAUGUAUUAGUUAUUCGGGGAUCAGGGACCUUCGGGGAUCCCCUGUUAUUAUUCGGGGAGGGGAUGAAGAUUCUCUCAAGUAAUUCUGAAGGGGACAUGGAGGGGACGGGGACAUAUGCAAAACAUCGGAGAUUGGUACGGGGAGAUUGGUCCCCUCCCCUCCCCUCCCCAUUGCCAUCCCUGGCCAUACCCCACGUGCUCAGAUGAAAUAUAGAAACAAUUUACAUGGACUACCCCAAGGAAGUACUUAGAAAAAUAAACCAAUCAGAAGCUUGGCUAAAUUUGAAGAAACGAAAAUGUUAUUGAGUUUGCUGAUAGAAGAAAUUAGGUUUCUGAAU
rnacentral:lncRNA from 1 species